rnacentral:lncRNA from 1 species
AUGCUCCCGCGGGAACGCUCCGGCCUGGCCGCGGGAACGCUCCGGCUCAGCCACGGGAACUGUCCGGCCUGGCUGCGGGAACGCUCCGGCUCGCCCGCGGGAACCAUCUGGCCGGGCUGCGGGAACCAUCUGGCCGGGCCGCGGGAACUGUCCGGCUCGGCCGCGGGAACGCUCCGGCCCGGCUGCGGGAACCGUCUGGCCGGGCCGCGGGAACGCUGUAGCCUGGCUGCGGGAACGCUCCGGCCCGACCGCGGGAACCGUCUGGCCGGGCUGCGGGAACGCUCCGGCCCGGCUGCGGGAACCGUCCGGGCCGCUGGGGCGACGCUCACGGGCUCGGGGAGCGACUGCGCGGGGGGGGGGGAACGGGGAUGCGGCGAGCUCGCAGGUGAGCGCGGCUUGGGGCAAAUUCAUGGGCUUUCGGGCAACGGGCCCGGCAGACGCGCGUUAUCCCGGUUUCAGCUUUGUUUGCACGCGUGUGUGCGCGCUCCCUCUCUGCUCCCCCCCCCCAAAAAAAAACGCGGCGGCUCCCGGCCGAGCGCCUGCUCCGAGGAUCGCCGAGCUGUGCGGGAUAAUAGUUGGGAAGAGCCGGUUUCCUUGGCGCUCCCUCCGCGCCGGGGGCGAAAGCGGGGCGAGGGGGCUGCUGCCGGCGGGGGGGUGGGGGGGGGACCAGGUUCGGGCCGUGGGAACCGCAGGGCUCCGGGCGCCCCGAGCGCGUCGCCGUUGCAAAGGGGUCUCGGCGUCGCGCUGCCGUCGCGGUCCCGGCGGCUCAGCCCCGGGGGCUUGUGCUGUUCCGGGUCUUUUGGGAGAAAAAAGGGGAAAAAAAGGAAAAAAGGGGGGGCUCGCCACCCGCCUCGGAGCGUUCCCGGGGUUUUGAGGUCUCCUGCCCAUGCGCCUUCCCGGGGAGGACGGAUAAUUCCUGCGCUCGGUGACCACGUCAGUGCAGGAGCUGGACGUGCAGAAAGCCGGGAAUUGCCCAGGCUGGCAGAAAUACGAGGGAUAUAUGGAAUAUAG